CUCAUAAGGAACCAGCUUCCAGGAAGCACAAGCAGUGGGUUACAUCAGCUCUCCACAUCUGCGGAACUGACCAUCCUACCAAUGGAUCUGCCUCAUCAUUGUAUAUGGGCACGGAGGUGAAGCCAGGGAACAGCUUCUGGAUUUCUCCUGCUGCUUCAGUUUCUUGUUCUAAGAUGUGAAGAGAACUCCCAGCUCCCUGUGGGAUAUCUGCCUUUCACUUGUUCCAAUUCCAGGGAUAUAAAUAACCUUCCAGAUACAAAAGUUUUCUCUUGUUUCUGCUACCGUAUGACUUCAGAACGUCUUCAUCUGGGCUAAUGGCUUAAGUGAAGGGUCCUCUGGUAAGGCAAAGCUGUGGGAAGGAUUCAGUGGCCUCAGAUUCCUGAAAAUGACCAGAUAUGGAUGACUGUGUUUAUGGAACUAUUUUGGGCUAUUAAGCAAAAGGUUUAUGAUGCUCAUGUUUGAGGAAGAGUUGGGCUGCACACAUUGGGAAAAAGUAGGGCUGUACACUCUGGUUAGUUAUCUGCAUCUCUGCUGAGUGUUCCACUUGGUGUACUAUUGGAAUAUUUGCUUGCAUAACAAAGAAGUGCAGCAAUUAUUAACUGUAGUUUCAUGUCAACAGAAUAAAGCACAGUUCAAAUACUAAA